rnacentral:lncRNA from 1 species
CCUUAUCCACCUUACCAACGCCCUAGUCCACCUGGCACUACUCCACGGCCGCCACAUCCGCCUAAAUCUCCACGUCACCCUCAUCCACCUAAGUCCCCUGGUAGGCCGCCCCACCCUCCGUCAACGCCACGUCCGCAUCCACCAACGACCAAACCACCACCCCACCACGGCGGAGCACCUCCUAGGGUUUUGCCGCCUAUUGUCAGACCACCACCAGUUGUAACACCUCCGGUCACAAGGCCACCUGGCAUUUCACCUCCAGUCACUAGGCCACCUGGCAUUUUACCACCUAUUGUCAAUCCUCCCGUUGUAACACCUCCAGUCACUAGGCCACCUGGCAUUCUUCCACCUAUAAUAAAUCCUCCGGUCACUAGGCCACCUGGCAUUCUGCCACCUAUAAUAAAUCCACCUGGCAUUUUACCACCAAUAACAACUCCUCCCGGAGGAAUCCCACCACCUUCUGCUGGAUAUCCACCUUAUGCACCUCCUGGUGGAGGUGGUGGUGGUGCGCCCGGUCGCGG